CGAACUUCUAUUGCAAGCGGACUUCAUUUGAGCUUCCACAGCAAUCGAUCUCCAUCCGAGCUUCUACAGUAAGCGGCCUCCUUCCGAACUCCUACAAGAAUCGGACUCCAUCUGAACUUCUACAGCGGAUGGAUUCCAGAUGAACUUCUACAAUGGACGGACUCCAGCAGUCGGAUUUCUACAGUGACCGACUGUCUCCGGUGUCUUCCAUACCUCUCCAGCCAUCAAUCUUCAAUAGUGCCAACCGAACUUCAAUAGUACCAACCAGAUCCCUCCAACGGACAAAUUUCCUCCGGACCUCUCUAGUGGUCGACCUUCCACAAUGUCCUCCAGACUCCUCCAGCGGACGAGCUUCCACAAUGCCUUCCGAACUCCGC
rnacentral:lncRNA from 1 species